GGAUUCGAGGAUAAUUAUUAUCGUAAAGAAUAUUAAAAAGCGGAAGAAAGCAGAACAGAGCAUAGCAGAGCAGAGAGGGAGGUGGAAAAAGAAAAAAAGGUGAGGAAGAAAUCGAGGAAAAGGAAGAGAAGAAGAAGGAAUGAGUGCCACAGUGACUCUAACUCUAAACCUAUGUCGUUCUUCCAUCGUUGCUUCUUGUCCACAUUAUAACCACAAACCAAACCCUAAUUUCAAUGCCUUGUUUAGCUUCUCUUUGUCCCUGUCUCUGUCUCACCACAGACGCAUCGCUAUCUGCAAGAAACCAUUUUCCUCAAGACGGACGUGGCUUCAUGGACAUAUGAAAAGAGAUCGAGAUUAUGAAUUGGAGAAUGGGUUAGCCUUAUUUGGUUCUGAUGAAGAACUAGCGACUCAAAUUCCAACUCAGGCCCAAUCACUUGUUGAAGGAUCAGGAUCCAUUCGCGUAGCGGAGUUCAAGCCUGUUCCUGAUGUUGAUUAUCUGCAGGAGUUAUUGGCCAUUCAACAGCAAGGACCUAGAGCUAUUGGCUUUUUUGGAACUCGGAACAUGGGAUUCAUGCACCAAGAACUAAUUGAGAUUCUUAGCUAUGCUAUGGUUAUAACUAAAAAUCAUAUAUACACAUCUGGAGCAUCUGGGACUAAUGCUGCUGUUAUCCGAGGUGCUUUAAGGGCAGAGAAACCGGAGUUGCUUACUGUUAUAUUACCUCAAAGUUUAAGAAAACAGCCUCCAGAGAGUCAGGAGCUAUUGUCCAAAGUGAAAAAUGUCAUAGAAAAGCCCCAUAAUGAUCAUCUACCUCUAAUAGAAGCCAGCAGGCUAUGUAAUAUGGAUAUCAUUUCGCACGUGCAGCAAGUCAUUUGCUUUGCUUUCCAUGAUAGUCGGUUGCUCAUGGAAACUUGUCAAGAAGCAAAAAAUUUGCGGAAGAUUGUGACUCUUUUCUACCUCGACUGACAAUUUUUAUCCAGGUCUAUACAUUAUUCCUCUGCAUAAGAGUGGGCUGGGAGAGAGUGGUGCUUAUUUUUGGUUUGUAAUUAAUAAUCAAUGAUAUUGCUUUAAAUUGCUUAUUUAAGUUCACCUAGAAAGGUAUUUUAAUCGCAUUCCUUUUUGUUUAGCUAAAUGACCUAUUUGAUUAUUUAUCUUUUUUUUUUCA